rnacentral:rRNA from 1 species
GAUGAACGCUGGCGGCGUGCCUAAUACAUGCAAGUCGAGCGAACAGAUAAGGAGCUUGCUCCUUUGACGUUAGCGGCGGACGGGUGAGUAACACGUGGGUAACCUACCUAUAAGACUGGAAUAACUCCGGGAAACCGGGGCUAAUGCCGGAUAACAUUUAGAACCGCAUGGUUCUAAAGUGAAAGAUGGUUUUGCUAUCACUUAUAGAUGGACCCGCGCCGUAUUAGCUAGUUGGUAAGGUAACGGCUUACCAAGGCAACGAUACGUAGCCGACCUGAGAGGGGGAUCGGCACAAAGGGAACUGGGACAGGGUCCAGACCCCUAGGGGGGGCAGAGGUGGGAAAUUUCCCGCAAUGGGAGAAAGCCUGACGGGGCAACGCCGGGGGGGUGAGGAAGGGUUUCGGAUCGAAAAACUCUUUUUUUAGGGAAAAAAAAAUGUGAAAGUAACGGGGCACGUUUUGACGGUACCAAAACAAAAAGCCGCGGCUAACUACGU